rnacentral:rRNA from 1 species
AUUGAACGCUGGCGGCAUGCCUUACACAUGCAAGUCGAACGGUAACGCGGGGCAACCUGGCGACGAGUGGCGAACGGGUGAGUAAUGCAUCGGAACGUGCCUGGUAGUGGGGGAUAACUGCUCGAAAGAGCAGCUAAUACCGCAUACGACCUGAGGGUGAAAGGGGGGGAUCGCAAGACCUCUCGCUAUCAGAGCGGCCGAUGUCGGAUUAGCUAGUUGGUGGGGUAAAGGCCCACCACGGCGACGAUCCGUAGCUGGUCUGAGAGGACGACCAGCCUCACUGGGACUGAGACCCGGCCCAGACUCCUACGGGAGGCAGCAGUGGGGAAUGUUGGACAAUGGACGCAAGUCUGAUCCAGCCAUGCCGCGUGCGGGAAGAAGGCCUUCGGGUUGUAAACCGCUUUUGUCAGGGAAGAAAUCUUCUGGGUUAAUACCUCGGGAGGAUGACGGUACCUGAAGAAUAAGCACCGGCUAACUACGUGCCAGCCGCCGCCGUAAUAC